rnacentral:rRNA from 1 species
AACGAACGCUGGCGGCGUGCUUAACACAUGCAAGUCGAGCGAGAAAGGGGGGGGCAACUCCCCCGAGUAGGGCGGCGCACGGGUGAGUAACGCGUGGGUAACCUGCCCCCCGGCGGGGGAUAACUACUCGAAAGGGUGGCUAAUACCGCAUGAGACCACGGGGUCCUUGGAUCCUGAGGCCAAAGGCCGCUUCGGCUUGCCGGAGCGGUCACCGGAGGAUGGGCCCGCGUCCGAUUAGCUAGUUGGUGGGGUAACGGCCCACCAAGGCUACGAUCGGUAGAUGGGAUGAGAGGAAGAUCAGCCACACUGGAACUGGAACCCGGUCCAGACUCCUACGGGAGGCAGCAGUGAGGAAUAUUGCGCAAUGGGGGAAACCCUGUCGCAGCAACGCCGCGUGGGUGAAGAAGGCCUUCGGGUCGUAAAGCCCUUUCGGACGGGACGAACGCUCCGCGGUGACAACCCGCGGAGCCUGACGGUACCGUAAGAAGAAGCACCGGCUAACUCCGUGCCAGCCGCCGCCGUAACAC